rnacentral:rRNA from 1 species
AGAGUUAUGAUCAUGUCUCAGAUUGAACGCUGGCGGAAUGCUUUACACAUGCAAGUCGAACGGCAGCACGGGGGCACCCCUGGUGGCGAGUGGCGAACGGGUGAGUAAUACAUCGGAACGUGCCCAGUCGUGGGGGAUAACGUAGCGAAAGUUACGCUAAUACCGCAUACGAUCUAUGGAUGAAAGCGGGGGACCGUAAGGCCUCGCGCGAUUGGAGCGGCCGAUGUCAGAUUAGGUAGUUGGUGGGGUAAAGGCCCACCAAGCCGACGAUCUGUAGCUGGUCUGAGAGGACGACCAGCCACACUGGGACUGAGACACGGCCCAGACUCCUACGGGAGGCAGCAGUGGGGAAUUUUGGACAAUGGGCGCAAGCCUGAUCCAGCCAUUCCGCGUGCAGGACGAAGGCCUUCGGGUUGUAAACUGCUUUUGUACAGAACGAAAAGCUUUGGGUUAAUACCUUGAGGUCAUGACGGUACUGUAAGAAUAAGCACCGGCUAACUACGUGCCAGCAGCCGCGGUAAU